rnacentral:rRNA from 1 species
UACGUAGGGUGCAAGCGUUGUCCGGAAUUAUUGGGCGUAAAGAGCUCGUAGGCGGUUUGUUGCGUCGGCUGUGAAAUCCCGAGGCUCAACCUCGGGUCUGCAGUCGAUACGAGCAAACUAGAGUGCUGCAGGGGAGACUGGAAUUCCUGGUGUAGCGGUGAAAUGCGCAGAUAUCAGGAGGAACACCGGUGGCGAAGGCGGGUCUCUGGGCAACAACUGACGCUGAGGAGCGAAAGCGUGGGGAGCGAACAGG